GCUUGUGGCCAGACUACCCUGAACACAGGGUUUGGCCUGGUUAGUACUGAGAUGGGAGCCCGCCUGGGAAUACCAGGUGCCGGAAGCU
rnacentral:rRNA from 1 species